GGGCCCGUAGCUCAGCUGGGAGUGCAUCUGACUGGCAGUCAGAAGGUCAGUGGUUCGAACCCCCUCGGGUCCACCA
rnacentral:tRNA from 1 species